GAGCUCACUUCAGCAGCAUAUAUACUAAAAUUGGAUACAGAGAAGAUUAGCAUGGCCCCUGUGCAAGGAUGACAUACUAAUUCAUGAAGAUAAUUGGAUUAUC